UACGAAGGGGGCUAGCGUUGUUCGGAUUUACUGGGCGUAAAGCGCGUGUAGGCGGGCUGGAAAGUUGGGGGUGAAAUCCCGAGGCUCAACCUCGGAACUGCCUCCAAAACUUCCAGCCUGGACUCAAGCAGAGGCAAGUGGAAUUGCGAGUGUAGAGGUGAAAUUCGUAGAUAUUCGCAGGAACACCAGUGGCGAAGGCGACUUGCUGGGCUUGUGGCGACGCUGAGACGCGAAAGCGUGGGGAGCAAACAGG
rnacentral:rRNA from 1 species